rnacentral:rRNA from 1 species
GCAAGUCGUACGAGAAAGUCGGACUUCGGUCCGGCAAGUAAAGUGGCGAACGGGUGAGUAACACGUGGAUAACUUGCCCCUGAAUCUGGGAUAAUCAACCGAAAGGUCGUCUAAUACCGGAUGAUAUUAUUUGAGGGCAUCUUUAAAUAAUCAAAGGCGGAGCAAUCUGCCGAUCAGGGAUAGGUCCGCGGUUCAUUAGCUUGUUGGUAGGGUAAUGGCCUACCAAGGCGACGAUGAAUAGCCGGCUUGAGAGAGUGAAC